ACGGAAUAGAUACCCCGGUAGUCCACGCCGUAAACGAUGAUAACUAGCUGUCCGGGCUCAUGGAGCUUGGGUGGCGCAGCUAACGCAUUAAGUUAUCCGCCUGGGGAGUACGGUCGCAAGAUUAAAACUCAAAGGAAUUGACGGGGGCCUGCACAAGCGGUGGAGCAUGUGGUUUAAUUCGAAGCAACGCGCAGAACCUUACCAGCUUUUGACAUCCUCAUCGCGAUUUCCAGAGAUGGAUUUCUUCAGUUCGGCUGGAUGAGUGACAGGUGCUGCAUGGCUGUCGUCAGCUCGUGUCGUGAGAUUGUUGGGUUAAGUCCCGCAACGAGCGCAACCCUGUCCUUAGUUGCCAUCA
rnacentral:rRNA from 1 species